GAGUUCAAGCACUUCGUGCAGGCAAUGGGGGCACGGCACGUCCUCACGGCUCCCUACCACCCCAGCUCCAAUGGGCUGGCAGAGCGUUUCAUUCAGACCUUAAAGAACGCCCUCCGCAAAGACGGCACAGGAGAGACACUGCAGUGCGUGCAACCACACAGAGGGGCACCUUCACCUGGCGUCGCCACCAGGAUCAGCUGCUGCACAGACCUGCAGAGGA
rnacentral:lncRNA from 1 species